rnacentral:rRNA from 1 species
UACAGAGGGUGCGAGCGUUAAUCGGAAUUACUGGGCGUAAAGCGCACGUAGUCGGCUUUGCAAGUCGGGUGUGAAAUCCCCGGGCUCAACCUGGGAACUGCAUCCGAGACUGCAUUGCUAGAGUAUGGGAGAGGGAAGCGGAAUUUCUGGUGUAGCAGUGAAAUGCGUAGAUAUCAGAAGGAACAUCAGUGGCGAAGGCGGCUUCCUGGACCAAUACUGA